AUUAAAGAAUUUCGGUGUUUGAUGGGGAUGCGUUCCAUUAGAUUGUUGGUGAGGUAACGGCUCACCAAGUCUUCGAUGGAUAGGGGUUCUGAGAGGAAGGUCCCCCACAUUGGAACUGAGACACGGUCCAAACUCCUACGGGAGGCAGCAGUGAGGAAUAUUGGUCAAUGGACGAGAGUCUGAACCAGCCAAGUAGCGUGAAGGAUGAAGGCCCUAUGGGUCGUAAACUUCUUUUAUAGGGGAAUAAAGUGCGGAACGUGUUCCGCUUUGUAUGUACCCUACGAAUAAGGAUCGGCUAACUCCGUGCCAGCAGCCGCGGUAAUACGGAGGAUCCGAGCGUUAUCCGGAUUUAUUGGGUUUAAAGGGAGCGUAGGUGGACGUAUAAGUCAGUUGUGAAAGUUUGCGGCUCAACCGUAAAAUUGCAGUUGAUACUGUAUGUCUUGAGUGUACAAGAGGUGGGCGGAAUUCGUGGUGUAGCGGUGAAAUGCUUAGAUAUCACGAAGAACUCCGAUUG
rnacentral:rRNA from 1 species